UGGGGACCCAGAGAGUGGGGCCUGCUCCACCUGAACCAGGUGUAGACACCCACCUGGGAGGAAGACAAUUUUGCCAGCGUGUCUUACAGCCUGAGACACUGUGGGGCAGGGACCCAGGAUUGAGACCAGACAGAAGUCUGCCCACUGCAGGCAGGCAGGGCCAGUGUGCUGCCUGAGGCCCCAGCAGCCCUGGCUAAUGGGAACACACUCUCUUUCAGAGCACAUGGAGGGAGGAGCUGGACAGUGAGUGUGUCCUUCGAUGUGCUUUGACCAAGCAUAGCCCAAAGGAUAUUUGGAAAGAGAUUUGUCCUGGCCUGUGAUGACUGUCUUGACUGGAAUCUAGUAGAUGGGAACAAGGGGUGCCAGAUGUCCUGCAAAUGCAGGAUGACACCAAAUGGCAAACAACAGCUCCUCCUGAAUCCUGGAGGACUCAGUGAAUCCAGAAUCAGGUUCUGCCAGGUGAUCCCAGCAGGUAAUCCCAGCAGUUCGGAGGCUGAGGCAGAAGGACCACCAUGAGUAUGAACACAAAGC